AGAGUUUGAUCCUGGCUCAGGACGAACGCUGGCGGCGUGCUUAACACAUGCAAGUCGAACGGAAAGGCCCAGCUUGCUGGGUACUCGAGUGGCGAACGGGUGAGUAACACGUGGGUGAUCUGCCCCUGAYUUUGGGAUAAGCCUGGGAAACUGGGUCUAAUACCGGAUAUUCAUUUUUCCUCGCAUGGGGAUUUGUGGAAAGCUUUUGCGGUUGGGGAUGGGCCCGCGGCCUAUCAGCUUGUUGGUGGGGUAAUGGCCUACCAAGGCGACGACGGGUAGCCGACCUGAGAGGGUGAUCGGCCACACUGGGACUGAGACACGGCCCAGACUCCUACGGGAGGCAGCAGUGGGGAAUAUUGCACAAUGGGCGCAAGCCUGAUGCAGCGACGCCGCGUGAGGGAUGACGGCCUUCAGGGUUGUAAACCUCUUUCAGCUCCGACGAAGCGCAAGUGACGGUAGGAGCAGAAGAAGCACCGGCCAACUACGUGCCAGCCGCCGCGGUAAUAC
rnacentral:rRNA from 1 species